CCUAAUCGUCGACCGCCCAGCGCCCAGAGAGACCCGCCCAACGCCGUCCAGCAACGCCUAGGCGACCGACUUUCUACCAGCGCCUAGCUUGAUCGACUAGGCCAAAAUCGGAACGGGGUGGAGGCGCCUAGCGACUAGGCGCCGCCUAGACAGCCGCUAGCCCGUUUUUUAGAACCUUGAUGUGAAUAGAGAAAAUGAGUGUGCGAAUAGCACCGCC
rnacentral:lncRNA from 1 species